rnacentral:rRNA from 1 species
AUUGAACGCUGGCGGCAUGCUUUACACAUGCAAGUCGAACGGUAACAGGCCGCAAGGUGCUGACGAGUGGCGAACGGGUGAGUAAUGCAUCGGAACGUGCCCAGUCGUGGGGGAUAACUACUCGAAAGAGUAGCUAAUACCGCAUACGAUCUAUGGAUGAAAGCGGGGGACCGUAAGGCCUCGCGCGAUUGGAGCGGCCGAUGUCAGAUUAGGUAGUUGGUGGGGUAAAGGCUCACCAAGCCAACGAUCUGUAGCUGGUCUGAGAGGACAACCAGCCACACUGGGACUGAGACACGGCCCAGACUCCUAAGGGAGGCAGCAGUGGGGAAUUUUGGACAAUGGGCGCAAGCCUGAUCCAGCAAUGCCGCGUGCAGGAAGAAGGCCUUCGGGUUGUAAACUGCUUUUGUACGGAACGAAACGGCUCUGGUUAAUACCCGGGGCUAAUGACGGUACCGUAAGAAUAAGCACCGGCUAACUACGUG